rnacentral:lncRNA from 1 species
CAAAGAUGGAUAUUUCUCUGUUAUGUAGCCGUGAAUGGCCUGCGAUUAGACCCGCUUUCGAGAGUCCAAAUCCUUCAGCGCUUCAUUAACCAUCACCAUCGUACGUGGAUGAAGAGGGUGUUUCCGUGCCACAGCAGUCACAGCCACCAUCUUCUGUGAAGUCAGACUAACAGUAUGUAUGUAGCUGUCUAAAUAAUGACCUUGUUCAUCCCUGAUAUGGCUGGUCGUCUGUUUUUGCUCAUCCUCCUUUUCGAUACCUUCCAGUACCUCAAAGCCAAAGAUCUUCCUCAGCCCAGUCUGACAGUGAUUCCUGCAGUCAUCAAAGAGAGAGACUCAGUUCAGCUGAACUGUCAGACUCCAUCUGUCUCUGAGUGUUACUUCAAAAUGGAAGGGCAAGUGGAAUUCACCCUACCAUCACCCUGUCAACAGACACUCACAGGAACACUACUGGUGAGGUGGACAGGUCAGAGUUCACCAGCUGAGGUCAAAAUACAAUGUCAGUACAGUGCUACAGGUUCACAGUUUAGAUCCAUGUACAGUGAGCCUUCAACAGUCACAAUUCAGGACAUUCCUCAGCUGACAGUGAGUUCUACAGUCAUCAGAGAGACAGAAUCAGUUCAGCUGAGUUGUGAGACUCCUCCAUCUCGCCAUGUGUCUAACUGUUACUUCUACAUAGAGGUGGGGAAGAAUUUUCCAGGGUCAUUGUGUACGCAGACAAUAACAGGAACUGAGCUGCUGAAGAGGGCAGGUCCAACAUUUCCAGCUGUGGUCAAAGUGAAAUGUUACUAUGCUGUAGGGAGGUCUCACACAUCUCCUUUAAGUAACCCUGUCUCAGUCACUGUUCAGGAUCCAAAACCAGACAUUACAGUCCAAUUUGAUGAGGACUUCACCAUCAUCUGUUUGAUUCCUGGAUCGGUCAGUCCUGACAGCACCUGUAACCUGUAUGUUGGAGAGGAGAGUCAGCCAUCCUUCACAGCAAAGACCAAGAAGAGACAAUCCACCUCAGCACCCAGACAGGAGUUCUGUCAAUUCACUCCAAAUCAUAGUGAUCUGAUCAGUGGUCUACAGUCAGUGAGGAGUAAGGAGGUGAGCUGUGAUUACAGAGUGAGCUCUGGACCAAACUCUCUCUCUCCACGCAGUGAUGGGUACAGCUUUACAGAUCUGGUGGGAGUUCACAUCAGUGAUCCAACAACUGUACAGACACCUUCUAUAGCAGUGGGUUUGACUCCAGGUCCUAGAUCUACUUUGCCUCCCAGCAAGACAGUGAGUCCUACAGAAGUUUCAACUGUUACUUCUACCUUUACCCCAGACACCACAGUGACACCAACUACCAGGUCGACUGUUUGCUGUACUUUUACCACUGACACCCCAGCGAGUCCAACUGAAAGAGUUCAAAGCUCCACAGAAAGUGAUGUGGAAUCAAACAGUCAAGAAAGCAUUCUGGAGAAAACCAAUUCUCAGAGACCUACAGCCAGACAGGAUGAUCACAGACAAUAUGAAUUGGUGUCUAUGGGAGCGGUGAGCAGAGGAAUCAUGGUGGAUUCAGGAGAUGCUGGAAUCGAUUCUCAGAUCACUUCUGUACUGUUCACGUUCACGCCCUCAGGUAACGUUGAUGUGGAUACACAGGCAUUUGCAAAUAAACAUGUAAGUACAGCACAAAUAAUUGCAUGGAGUAUUCUUAUAUCGGUUGUACUAUUCAUUGUAUUAUAUUGUUAUAUUAUUAUUAUUAUUUAUAGCAUUGUUUUCACAGACAGACGGACUCGAGGAUACAAGUAUCUCUCUUUCUCUCACUGUGAUUUGACUUUCAGUUUAAGAUUGGUCUUACAUCCUCAUAAAAUACCCCUUAUGAAUUACAUUAACUGUACUGUAGAUUCGAAGCCCUAAAGUGAAUCUGUUUCUUUCCUCUAGUCUGACACUUACCAUGUAUACAGCUCAAUCCCCGACAGACCAGCAACCUCAGCCCAGCCGGAUGGGUUGUACAGUCUUCUGCAGACACACUGACACUACACCUCUGGCUUUCUGUAGCUAUGUCUCACACAAAUACAUUCUAUCUCACACGACAUCCAUUGUUUAUCACACAUCCAGUUACUGUAAAUAAGUUGCUUAACAGGUAAUAUAUCUACUGUAUUACACAUAGACAACUGGUUUCUGUUACAUGUCUAUCCAUAAUAUCUGUUACUGUGUUAAUAUAUAUAUAUAUUAUUUUUUAGGGGUCCAGGGGCAUAGUCCCCUUUGAGCAUUUUUCUUAUUUCUUUCCCCUAGUUAAUGCUAAAUCUACUGUAUUUAUGUAUUUUACGUUGACUGUGUGAUACCUCCUUCCAUAGCGGUUGGAUACAAUUAAUUUCCUGUUGGGCAAAACAUAAUCCAAAACACAACCAAAACAAACUGCAAAUGCAUCCAACAAGUUUGUUGAGUCACAAGCUUGAUGUAUUUAUUGGGUGCAAAGAAUCAAGGACCAAAAUACAAAAUGUUUGACUACCUUAAUACACUAUAAAUGAGUUUGUCCAAAUACUUGUGACUUUUUCAAAUGUGGGGACUAUAUAGAUAAAGUGCAUUUAUAUCAAAACGGUAAAACAUACAAUGCCUUCAGAAAGUCUUCACACCCCUUGACGAUUUCCACAUUUUGUUGUGUUACAGCCUGAAUUUAAAAUGUAUGAAAUUGAGAUUUUUUUUUGUAACUGGCCUACACACAAUACCCCAUAUCGGGGUGGCAGGUAAUCCAGUGGUUAGACCGUUGGACUAGUAAUCGAAAGGUUGCAAGAUCGAAUUCCCGAGCUGACAAGGUAAAAAUCUGCCGUUCUGUCCCUGAACAAGGCAGUUAACCCACUGUUCCUAGGCCGUCAUUGAAAAUAAGAAUUU